rnacentral:rRNA from 1 species
GACGAACGCUGGCGGCGUGCUUAACACAUGCAAGUCGAACGGAAAGGCCCUGCUUGCAGGGUCCUCGAGUGGCGAACGGGCGAGUAACACGGGGGUGAUCUGCCCUCCACCUCGGGAUAAGCCUGGGAAACUGGGUCUAGUACCGGAUAGGAGCAAUUUACAGUGUGAUGGUUGGAAAGUUGUGUCGGUGUAGGACUAGCUCGCGGCCUAUCAGCGUGUUGGUGGGGUGAUGGCCGGCCAAGGCGGCGAGGGGUAGCCGGCCGGUGAGGGUGGACGGCCACAUUGGGACUUAGAUACGGCACAGACUCCUACGGUAGGCAGCAGUGGGGAAUAUUGAACAAUGGGCGCAAGCCUGAUGCAGCGACGCCGCGUGGCGGAUGGCGGCCUUCGGGUUGUAGACUCCUUUCGCUAGGGACGAAGCUUUUUGUGACGGUACCUAGAUAAGAAGCACCGGCUAACUACGUG